GCAGACAUAUUCCAGCCAAUCAGCAGCAGACCCUUCCUCCCAGACCCUCCCACCUCCUGGACAGCAUCCUUUUUACAUUCUGCAUUCUGCAUACAAGCUGCAUUCUUAGUGAGCUGUCCAGGAGGUGGGAGGGUCUGGGAGGGAGGGUCUGCUGCUGAUUGGCUGGAAUGUGUCUG